UACGAAGGGGGCUAGCGUUGUUCGGAUUUACUGGGCGUAAAGCGCACGUAGGCGGAUUGUUAAGUCAGGGGUGAAAUCCUGGAGCUCAACCUCCAGAACUGCCUUUGAUACUGGCAAUCUAGAGUCCGGAAGAGGUGAGUGGAACUCCUAGUGUAGAGGUGGAAUUCGUAGAUAUUAGGAAGAACACCAGUGGCGAAGGCGGCUCACUGGUCCGGUACUGACGCUGAGGUGCGAAAGCGGUGGGGAGCAACAGGG
rnacentral:rRNA from 1 species